GGGCGAAUGGCUUAGGGGCAAAGCGCCUCGUUUGCAGUAGGACUUCGGUCCUGAAUUAUUCGAGGAGAUCCCGGGUUCAAAUCCCGGUUUGUCCA